rnacentral:rRNA from 1 species
AGCGUAGGUGGCCUAACAUGUCAACUGUGAAAACCCGGAGCUCAACUCCGGACUUGCAGUUGAAACUGGUAGGCUUGAGGACGGUAGAGGAAGACGGAACUGCCAGUGUAGGGGUAAAAUCCUUAGAUAUUGGCAGGAACGCCGGUGACGAAGGUGGUUUUCUGGGCCGGUUCUGACACUGAUGCUCGAAAGCCAGGGGAGCGAAACGG